rnacentral:rRNA from 1 species
CUGUACAGUUCAGAGUUUGAUCCUGGCUCAGGAUGAACGCUAGCGACAGGCCUAACACAUGCAAGUCGAGGGGCAGCAUGGUAGUAGCUUGCUACUAUUGAUGGCGACCGGCGCACGGGUGAGUAACACGUAUGCAACCUGCCUGUAAGCGGGGGAGUAACCCAGAGAAAUCUGGACUAAUACCGCAUAAUAUCACAGUUUCGCAUGUUAUUGUGAUUAAAGAUUUAUUGCUUACAGAUGGGCAUGCGUCUGAUUAGCUAGUUGGCGGGGUAACGGCCCACCAAGGCAACGAUCAGUAGGGGUUCUGAGAGGAAGGUCCCCCACAUUGGAACUGAGACACGGUCCAA